AGCCCUGUGAAUGCUCAGCCUUGUGAAUGCUCAUCCCGCCGCUGUUCGCUCUCCCGCGGUUGCUGCUUGCAUAGGGUUUCAGAUCCGGAAAUUUGAGGAUGCGAAACGUGAGAUUUUCUCUUCGACAACCUCACGCUAGUACGGGUGAUGGGUGUGCGGCCCACCGGAGCCCGCCCUGCCCAACCUGCACCCUCGGGGCUCGAAGAGGAGCCAAGCGUUUCCCCAGGUCCUAGUUAUGCCUCCAAAUAAUAUUCGUAGAAAAACAAAACAGAAAAACCCUCCAGACUUUUAUCCACAAAUAAAGAAGAAACAUAUUUUGGUUAAAACGUCACCCAAUUCUUCAAGGAUGACUUACGCAGUUAUGCAAGAAUGGGUUUGCCACAUGUGACCACAGUGGUGACUGGCCCCUGAGGAAGGAAAAUUUUAAGUACGGGGAAGGGGCCGGAGGGCAAGGAGAUUCGUGAGAAUAUCGCAGGGCCUGUAAUGCUGAAACCAGUGCGUCGCCACUAUUAUUGGUAUCCAGUAAUUAUUAAUGUCAAACGGAAAAAUAGCAACGCGGGAUAUUUUAUUUUAGAAGUCACCACGGUCAUGGAAAAAACACGGGCUCUGGAGUCAGACCCAUGUAUAACAAUCUUUGUACAGUUAAGACUCAGUUCUAUUAUCUAUAAAAUGGGCCUUAAUAAUAGUACUACCUUAUAGAGCUAUUAGGAUCAAGAGAAUAUUUAAUCAAUGAUGGGUUGUGUUUGGUUGAGUGAUGUGAAAUUGCCAAUGUUUUGGCCGUUCUGGGUCUACAUCAUUCCCCUUAAUGGUACAGUACUUGCAUACUGCUGCGGUUUCCUGUCAGGGGGAGGACUGGAUUAUGAUCCAUGGGAAGGGGAAAUGGAAGAACGGUGGAAAUGAGUUGCCCAUGACCACACUGAGAAGAGGGAAAGAGGGACCAAGACACAAGUCUCUUGACUUCAGUCCAGCCCAUUUCCCAUGACCAAGAUUCCUCUGAUUACAUGAAGGAACUGCGGCCCCCAACUGUUAUGCAUAUUGAAUAAAGGGACAGAACAGGGAUGAGGUGCCCUCCAAUGCAUACUUUGCAAAUGUGGUGAGGAACAUGGGAUGUGGCAUCUGAAUUGCCUGAGUCCAAAUCGUGGACCCAAUGCUUCCUGGCUGUGUAAUUUGGACAAGUGACUGAACCUUCUGAGCCUCGGUUUCUCUCAUCUGUAAACUGGGGACAAUAAUGGUGGUUGUGAGAAGUACAGUAUGAUGUGCCUGGCAGAGGGAGAGAGCAGUUGUGGGUUUUGUUGUUGUUUUUAACGAGUCCCUGAUAGCCACAUAUCCCGUUAGGGAGAUGAGCCAGCUAUUGAGGGUUCUGUGAGAACUCAUAGCAACACCACCCUAAUCAGAGGAAAGGGGAAGGAGAAAGGGAAACAAGAUCCUUGGGCUGAUCAGAGGCAGAGGUGGCAAUGGCACAACACCUAUUGGGGCCCAAGGUGGGCAGGGGCCACACCACGAAGGCUGUGGUUGGGAAUCAAGUUUAGCCCAUAAAGCAGUAGGCAAUCAAAUGAUCAAAUUUAUGCUUUCCUCUAUUCAAGCCAUUCUCCCUUAUGCCUGAGAUCUCUCUCUGGAAUUCCAAACCGAUCUAGAUCUUUCCAAGCAUCACAAUGGCCAUUUCAGUGGCAGACAUUUCUGGGGUUCAAAUAUCUUGUUAUCUAUCCUUUAUUAGCUUUGUUUAUACUGUGAUUGGGGGAAAGGGGACGUGUCGGUCUUUACAUGAUUAAAAUUACUUAAAAUGACUUUUAUACAUCAGUAUGAAUGUUAUAUUGUUUUAAAUAAUCAGCAGAAAAAUCUGACUGGGGAUGUUUUAUUUUUCUGUAACUUCCAUUUGUUGUUGUUUUGAUGCACUUUCCUUCUCCUAUUAAUUCCAUAAAGGAGGCAGUAUUUCCAGGCUUCACAGAGCAGAAGAUGGAGGCUCACAGACUCACCUGAGGUUACAGAAGUAGUAAAUGGUAGCAGGCCUUUUUGCUCCAAAGCAUGUGCUCUUUCAGUAUCACUUCCUGGGGGUGAGGGUUCAGACCAUGUUAGGAUCAGGGAAUGGCCUGGGUUUCUGUGGCUUGCUGCAGACAGCUCCCAAGUGGCCCUCAAGGACUGCCUGGACAUGGAAAGGCCAGGAGCAUAUGACCCCAUGUGAAAGACCCAUCUGCACCCUUCCUGGAGCCUAAUGCAGAGACAGGGAUGUAAAACUGCUUUUUCUCUGACAUGAGCCUUUGUUCUGUACAUAAUAACCAAGAACCAGAAGUUGCUCCUAUGCUCUCAAAGCAGUGAUUUGCAAUUGCAUGACAGAGCCCCCUGGGUUCCACACCACCUCUGUGGGGAGAGGGCAGGCACUCACACUUUUAAAAUGCCCCUUAGAUGAUUUCAAUUUGCAGUCGGGGCUGAGAACCAGUGUCCUGAACUCACUCAGUUUAUUUGGGAGACUCCCAAAAUGUGUAUUUGCAGAGCCCCCUUUCGGGGAGAGUGCUGUUGGAUGCCCCUGGAAGAUUAUGGCAGCUCUCUAAGGAACAUAGCCAUAGUCCACGCCCACCACUCUUGGUCACAAGGGCAGAAGAAGGGAGGAGGGGUCUGCUGGGAGGUCAGGACUUCUUUGAGAUGAUCUGUCCAGUUGGGUGCAGCACAGCCACCAUGGGCUCACCCAGAGUGCUCAGGGGAUACAGCACUGGCUGGGCCAUGGAGAGACACUGUGUAAAAGGGAGCUGUCAGCCCCCUUGUACUUCCAGAGCCUGAAGAGUUUCAGAAUCCAGCCUGGGGGCGGUGGGGUGACAUCUCCCUUCCUGUUGGCUGCAGGGUGAGCCGAUAUCA
rnacentral:lncRNA from 1 species